rnacentral:rRNA from 1 species
AGUGAACGCUGGCGGUAGGCCUAACACAUGCAAGUCGAACGGCAGCACAGUAAGAGCUUGCUCUUACGGGUGGCGAGUGGCGGACGGGUGAGGAAUACAUCGGAAUCUACUCUUUCGUGGGGGAUAACGUAGGGAAAGUUACGAUAAUACCGCAUACGACCUACGGGUGAAAGCAGGGGAUCUUCGGACCUUGCGCGAUUGAAUGAGCCGAUGUCGGAUUAGCUAGUUGGCGGGGUAAAGGCCCACCAAGUCGACGAUCCGUAGCUGGUCUGAGAGGAUGAUCAGCCACACUGGAGCUGGAACACGGUCCAGACUCCUACGGGAGGCAGCAGUGGGGAAUAUUGGACAAUGGGCGCAAGCCUGAUCCAGCCAUAGCGCGUGGGUGAAGAAGGCGUUCGGGUUGUAAAGCCCUUUUGUUGGGAAAGAAAAGCAGCAGGUUAAUACCCCGCUGUUCUGACGGUACCCAAAGAAUAAGCACCGGCUAACUUCGUG